AACGAACGCUGGCGGCAUGCCUAACACAUGCAAGUCGAACGAGACCUUCGGGUCUAGUGGCGCACGGGUGCGUAACGCGUGGUAACCUGCCCUUAGGUUCGGAAUAACUCCCCGUAAGGGGUGCUAAUACCGGAUAAUGUCUUCGGACCUAAGAUUUAUGGCCUUUGGAUGGGCCCGCGUUGGAUUAGCUAGUUGGUAGUGUAAAAGCCUACCAAGGCGAGGAUGCAGAGCUGGUCUGAGAGGAUGAUCAGCCACACUGGGAAUGAGACACGGCCCAGACUCCGACGGAGAGCAGCAGAGGGGAAUAUUGGACGAGGAGCGAAAACCUGAUCCAGCCAUGCCGGGUGAGUGGUGAAGGCCUUAGGGUUGUAAAGCCCUUUUACCCGAGAUGAUAAUGACAGUAACGGGAGAAUAAGCACCGGCUAACUACGUG
rnacentral:rRNA from 1 species